rnacentral:rRNA from 1 species
CCCUUAGAUGUUCUGGGCAGCACGCGCGCUACAAUGGUCUUCGCAAACGGAUGCAUUCUCGAAGGAGAAUGCCUAUCUUGGAAUCUAUGCCUUGGUCGGGACAGUUGCUUGCAAUUUUUCGACUCGAACCAGGAAUUCCUUGUAAUCGUGAUUCAUCACAUCACGAUGAAUACGUCCCUGCCCUUUGUACACACCGCCCGUCGUUCCUACCGAUCGAAGAGUUAGGUGAAUUGUUUUGAUCGAUAAGAUUUGACUAUGGUCAACUCUCGUUGUGAAAUUCUGUGAAUCUGACUGUUUAGAGGAAGGAAAAGUCGUAACA